GACGAACCGUGCGAACGUUAUUCGGAAUCACUGGGCUUAAAGGGCGCGUAGGCGGGCAACCAAGUCAGGGGUGAAAGCCCACGGCUCAACCGUGGAAGUGCCUUUGAUACUGGUCGUCUCGAGGGAGGUAGGGGCGUGCGGAACUUCCGGUGGAGCGGUGAAAUGCGUAGAUAUCGGAAGGAACACCGGUGGCGAAAGCGGCGCGCUGGACCUCUUCUGACGCUGAGGCGCGAAAGCCAGGGGAGCAAAGCGGG
rnacentral:rRNA from 1 species